AUGCGUGACGCCAAGGAAGCUCUCGCCGCCGCUAGCCGCAGCGUAACCACGCUCACGUUCAGGUACACGGAAGGAGAGGACGACUACCCCAGUGCCUACCUGUCACCGUCUUUCAGAGACGCCGUGUUCGAAGCAAAGCAGGGCAUGGCCCAAGGACUCGGGGCGCUGCUGUCCGGCAAGGCGGCCCGCCACCUAGAGGAACUCCACAUCGGGCUCUUCUACGGCCCGUGCUCGGACACACCCUGGUCCAAGUUUCUCUACCCUCUCAGCAUAGGCGUCCUGUCGUCGUCAACGUCCCUCCGCGUGCUGCACCUCAGCAAGUGCGUGGACUACGACCAGGUGUUCCGUAGUCAAUUCCCUCGGCUCGUGGAGCUGCGGCUGCACCUGUGCAGCGUCUCGCUCGACCUACUCCAAGGCGUGAUCUACGCCGCGCCGCUGCUCGCCACUCUGCACCUCGACAAAUCCGAGCUCUUUGUAGGGAACCCUCGUGUGCAGCGUUCGCUGGUCAUGCGCUGCCCCGGGGUCACCACCCUCGCUCUCUCAAAUUUCGACUGCUGGGUUCAUAAUUGUCAACACACCAUGGAGCUCGAUGCUCCGCUGCUGCGGCACUUCACGUAUGAGGGGCCCCUCCGGCCAUUGUCGCUCAAGUCACCGCAGCCAUCGGACAUGACACGGGUGGACCUGCGCCUGCAUUUCUUUGCGGAGGUUGUUCCUACAGAUGACGAGGCAUGCCAUAAAUUCGUUCAAGCCUUCAGCAACGCAAAGAUAGUCAAGGUUAACUUCAUUUUCUUUUCAAAAAAGAAUCAAACCAACAAUACCGCAGUCAGAACGAGCAACCAACAAGAUUAUGAGCUUUACUUCAACUACCGCAUCACAAGGAUUGAGAAUGUGGUCUCAUUCGGAUGCACACUCGCGUACAACGGGCAGCCGCUAGUCCUGCAAGAAAAAACUGUUUUCUAA
rnacentral:rRNA from 1 species